AGUAAAAGUCGCUCCAAGAUUUUCGUAGGUGAACCUGCGGAAGGAUCAUUAACGAAUUCGGGCGCUCGACUCUGAAAUAUUGAGAUCGGCCCCAUUUCUUAAUCCACUUCACACUUGUGCACAUUUUUCCUACUUUCCUUCGGGAGAGCUUGAAAAGCUCUUGUGAUUUUAAUCAAGUCCAGGAUGUGAAUCCAAUUUGAAUAAGUUGUAAAACAACUACAAACGGUGGAUCUCUUGGCUCUCGUAUCGAUGAAGAACGCAGCGAAACGCGAAAUGUAAUGUGAAUUGCAGAAUUCAGUGAAUCAUCGAAUCUUUGAACGCAUCUUGCACUCUCGAAUCACUAUCGAGAGUAUGCCUGUUUGAGUGUCGCGAAACUCUCAACCCCGCCUCAUGCUUUAUUGCGUGUGGGUAGCUUGGGCUUGGAUCAUGAUCUUUGCAGUAAUGCGCUAGCAGAACUGCUGGAUUGAAAUACAACAAGCUGAAUCUAUAUACUUGCGGCUUGACCUGUCGUUGUAAGCACACAAAUGCAUUCGAUGGGGACGCGAGAAAAUGGAAUGAGCUUUCCAAAUGUGUUACACUUUGCAGCUUCUAUUAACUUAGAGCUCUUAGUGCAUUCUGACCUCAAAUCAGGUAGGAUUACCCGCUGAACUUAAGCAUAUCAAUAAGCGGAGGA
rnacentral:rRNA from 1 species